ACGAACGCUGGCGGCGUGCCUAAUACAUGCAAGUAGAACGCUGAAGAGAGGAGCUUGCUCUUCUUGGAUGAGUUGCGAACGGGUGAGUAACGCGUAGGUAACCUGCCUUGUAGCGGGGGAUAACUAUUGGAAACGAUAGCUAAUACCGCAUAACAAUGGAUGACACAUGUCAUUUAUUUGAAAGGGGCAAUUGCUCCACUACAGGAUGGACCUGCGUUGUAUUAGCUAGUAGGUGAGGUAACGGCUCACCUAGGCGACGAUACAUAGCCGACCUGAGAGGGUGAUCGGCCACACUGGGACUGAGACACGGCCCAGACUCCUACGGGAGGCAGCAGUAGGGAAUCUUCGGCAAUGGGGGCAACCCUGACCGAGCAACGCCGCGUGAGUGAAGAAGGUUUUCGGAUCGUAAAGCUCUGUUGUAAGUCAAGAACGAGUGUGAGAGUGGAAAGUUUACACUGUGACGGUAGCUUACCAGAAAGGGACGGCUAACUACGUG
rnacentral:rRNA from 1 species